UCCUGUUUAUCAUAAUUCUGCUUAUCACAGUCCUGCUUAUCAUAUCCUGCUUAUAAUAAUAAUGUCUCUGCUUAGUAUUCCAGUUUCUUGAUCUUUUAUCUUCUACUCAAUUUCUCUACAGCAUCUCAUUUGUUGUGGCUGAAUAUUUCUUUAGUGGUUGAUGCACUGUAUGGUUCUAAGGACCUUACAUGUAGGUUCUUCACUUAUACCCAGGGACUUCCUGGGAUGCAUUGGAACAAUCUUCUGAACUGAGACUAGAUAGCAACAGCACACCAAAUGAAGACCAUCUUUACAUGAUCAGGAGUUGAUCUUGAGGUUAGUGAUAGCCUGUGUCAAGUGACAGAAGGUAAAAAAUAUCAUAUUAUGUGUGAGAAAGGCUCCUAAAUGUUUUAUAGCAACAAUUUUGUCAUUGGAAGGUGUUCAUUGCCUAAAAUCUACAACUGUUACCUCCCUACUGUUUACAAGCCGCUGCUGCUUCUGGUGGCUCAUCCUUCUAAAUUUCAAAACCAGGAGGAGGAGCCAGAGGGCAACCUUCCAAGAAGGAGUAAGCAAGAUAAUUAGGCAAUUAAUCUCUGGCAUUGGAGUGGGAUCUGCUUGUGAACAGAGGAACUUAAGGUUGAGAUUCUAGCCUUGAAUGGGACAGGACGGUGCAACACACACCCACACACACUGUGUGCGUAUGAGCCCACUGGAAGCAUAGGACUGACUGUCAAAUAGGGGAGUUUUGACACUUUGAGGCUGUUUUCCUUAUCUGGUAGAGAGACUUGUAAUUUUUUAAGCUGUUUGGUUAGAUCUGCUGCCCUGGGCUGUUCAGGUGUACUUAAAGAGUGUAGACCAUUGAUGAGAUACGUUCAGCUGAAAAAGCCUGAACAACUUUGAGAUGUCACAUUUGGGGCUUCAUAGUGCAUAUGGCUAAAAAGAGCACAGGGCAUAACACAGCAAGUAACUUCUACUUAUUUUGCACAGAAGCAAGAAAAUAUAUAUUCCUUUCUAGAAAGACGAAAAUCAUUAUGGUUUCUUCAGAAGAAAUGAGCUGAGGCAUAAAAAUGUUAUGUCCUUGACCUGCUUGUUAAUAGAGUCCCUAUAUACUUUAUACAUGCAUUUAUUAAAAAAUAAUAUCUUGUAUCUAUAUACACGAGGUAACAGUAAUAAGUUGGCCAUAGUUAGCAAAUGACAGGGUGUAUGCAAAGCCAAUGAAAAUGUGUUUCUAAUAAAGUAUCUAAAAAAGACAAGUAGUGAGGUACAGUGUACCUGACUGAAAUUCCUAGCAACUCAUAAAAUUUACAAAGUAAAAGAUGAUGACAAGUAGUGUAUUUUUUUUUUUUGCUAUAAAUAUAGAAAAAUCAUAUAAUGCAAAAAACCAGUUUAAUAUGAUAAAUGGAAGAAACAACCACUUGCAAACCAAGCCUGGAACAAACCCCUGGCAGGGAAAGCAGAAGUAGCUGACAAAAGUGCCUUUAUGAUAUGUCAGAUUUAUGUCUCAAGAUGGCCAAUCCGUUCUUGUUUUCAUGUGCUGUUGGUGGGGUUUGUGUUUGAUAUUCAAAAGAUCAGAUUUGCUUCCUGCAAAUUGAAAGCAUAUGCUACUUCUGGAUCCCUUUUUCCUAAGGGAUUUUUGCAGCCGGUAUGUACCCAGGGUUCCUGUCAUCUUGACAGGCUAAACUGCAACAAGUUUUACCUCUUCAGAUAUGUAUGAAGAAGUGCAUAAUAUACAUGCAUAAAUAGCACUUCCUGAAAUGUUUCUUCAUUUCAUAGUUACAUGCAUUUCUUGGUUGCCUGUAGUACCUCUAUAACCACAGCUACUUUCCAGCUUCCAGUCCUCUGAAUUACUGUAUCUCAGCACAGGAGUAUUUACAAAGUAAAUCCUUUUUUUUAGAGGGGAAAUAAGUACCUGUAUACCAGUCUAAAGGAAAGUUCUAUCAGUAUUACACUGUUUUCCUCACCUUUAAACACAGGUCUGUCUAUACAGAUUGUUAGUAGCUAACCAAAGACUACUACACAUCUAGCUUAGCUUCUGAGAACUUAAAUAUAACUUUGGAACAAAAAAGUAAUGCUGACUAGGUGAAUAUGACCUUUUGGUCAAUCUUUUUUAAAAGCUGCUUACAGAUUGAGGCCACUACGACAGCCAGUGUCACUAUUUAUCAGAGAGUGCUAUUGUAUCACGUUGGGGAGGAGCUGAAGUGUGCUAUUCAGGGUGCUGCUGAGCAUAACAACCUCACAGCCAGUGUUCUGGGUAGCUGUGGUUCUUUAUUUUGGCCUCAAGCUAGCGAGCACGUUCAGUGGGAUUCAAGGGCAUCUGGCAUGGAAGAGACCUGCACUUCUAUGGUUACACCCAAACUUUAUUUCUUUCUUUUUUCAUGCUUCCAGGUUCUCCUUCACACUCUCUGUCCAGACCACCAAACCCAUGAGAGGAGUGAGAAUACACAAAUGCUGUAGAACUGAGACAAAUAAAACUACUUCAUGUAUAGAUGGGAAGACUAUAAUCUAGAAACAUUAAGCUGUGACAGCCUGCCAGAACUUCUCCUGCAAAUGAUGGAGUUUCUCUAAAGACGCUUCGUAAAAGCAGCAGCAGCAAACAGAGCGACCCUACAGGUGCAAACUGCAGCAGCUCUCCCUCCAGUCUUCCCAAUAAGGUUUGUUGAAACUCUCUGUAUCUCAACGUCUUUAUUGGUAAUGGAUACCUCCCUUAAUUUGCACUGAUGCAUUUGGAAUGUCAGCUUCCAAAACAAGGCACAUGGGAGGCAUUUAAAGUAGAUUUUUUGAAAGGAAAAUGAACAAAGAGCAUGUCAGGUUCCAUUUUGAUUUGCAUGACAAAUCCUUCAUGCAGUGUUCUGGUGGGUCGGGCUGGGCUUGCCUGCCACUCACUGCGUUUGUCACUUUGGUUUGAACACUUCUGACAGUCCGUUAUGUUAAUUGUUCUAAGGAUUGUUUUGCUGGGGAGGAAGAAAAGGAAAGGCAUUUGUAUUUUUGUGCUUGUUCCAUUUACAGGAAAGGAGGGAUUUCUGAAGGAACACACAAUGUUUUCAGUCUGUUUGUGAUCUAUUUGAUUUGUAAAUAAUCCUAUGAAGUCAUCAGCAA